GGUGGCGCCGGAUCCGGGGCGCGCGCAGGUGGCCCCGCGGCGCCAGAGGUCGGGUUAGGGAUGCGGGGAGAACGUUCCGGGCGGCCUGUCUUCAUCCCUCUGGACCGGCGGGCCGUGCCCCACGGUCCUGGGCCUCCGCGUCCCGCCGCCCGUCCCCCUCCAGCCACAUCCCCCAUCACCGGGUGAAGGAGCCCGGUGUCUCCGAGUGCUUAGGGAAGCAAGCGGAGAAGAAGAAAACCCAGAUCUCGCGUCUGCCUGGAGAAGCAGCAAUAUUUUAACUUGGAAAGGCCAGAACAAGCUGCAGAGGCCCCACACGCAUAUGCAGAUCAUUUGCAAAGUUAUGGCAACCUGGAGCGCAGGCCUCCCUCUCCCUCCCCCCCAGACUCAGGAUACCAGAGCCCGAAGACACCACCCAGGUUAUUUGCUCAUCCCCCUCCCCCUCCACCACCAGGGUCUGGCCAAGGGGUGGGUCUUUGCCGGUUCUUGUCAUUCCCAUCAAAGAUAGCUCCUGUACCAUCAGACUGGAUGGAGGAACAUCUUCCUUGACUAGGGUUUAGCCCUCAAAGCAAUUAGGGGGGCACCCCAAUAACUUCUCAGACCCUGUCUGUACAGUCAUAGCAGUUUACCCUCUCUUGCAUAAUUCCUGCAUGUGUCCAGUCAUUUACCUUGCUCAGCAGCCUUGAGAUAGAGAUGAUUAUUCCCAUUUUAUGGAUGAGGGAACUGAGGCUCAGAGUCAUACAAGUAGGGUAUGUAUGCUGGGCCUCAGACCCAGGCCUAGGGCCCAUGCUCUUAGGCACUGGGAAUCUCGGCUCUCAGCAGGACUGGGACUGUUUUGGUGUGCACUUUGCCAUCUUUCAGCACAGUGGCGCCCAGAGUCCCAGGAAAGGAAAACAAACCUUUGGAGACGGCGCUCACAGGGUCUGAUGGCCUAUGGCCCCAGGAGCCGCCCGGAGAGUGGCUGAAGGGGAAUUCAGGACUCUCCAGAAGCCCGUGAGUGCCUGGCAGGUACAAACACGAGACAGCUGAGAGUUGGCACCCUAGCCGGCUGGCCGUCCUGGGCUCAAGAGAAUGGUCAACACCAGCGGGAAGAUACCGGGCGGAGAGGCAGCCUUUCCCAGAUGUCCUCUCAGCGUUGAAUCUUAAGAAUUCCACUCUCCAUCCUGAGAGCAGCAUUUUACAGCAUUAAGCCAGCUGUGCAGAGCCGAGAGCUCAAUUUCUCCCCAGACGACUUCCUGUCAUAAAAGGGGACGUACGGAUCCAGCUCUCCUUUGGAUGAGUGCCUGAGCCCCCGCUCCCACGGCUGGGGUUUUCUCCAGGCUCCCCGGGCUCUCCGCUGCUCACCGCGUCCCUUGGGCAGUGCUGGACCCAGGGCCCUGGUAAUCGAAGCGCGGGAUGACCUAAGAGCCCAGCCUCUGAGCACAGCAUUUCCCACUGACCUCGCCUAAAGGAUUUUAGAGCAGCGCCUGGCUCAGCACAUAGGUGUGGAAGGAAUCUGAGGCCGGACGUCUGGGUGGCUCAGUGGUUGAGCAUCUGUCUUCAGCUCAGGGCGAUCCUGGGGUUCUGGGAUCGAGUCCCAAGUCGGGCUCCCU